GGCAGUAGUCACAGACACAUUACAUCUCAAAGGAUCCUUGGCCAUUAAUGGGUUAAAUAGGGUUGGAGGGCAGUUAAGGUUUUCUGAAAUGAGGCAGCGAAUAGGAACGAUGUGUGAGAACUACAAGUUGGACAGUAACAUUCCAUCACUUGGAGAUAUGAUCAAUGUGUCUUGGGAAGGCCAAUUAGUUUAAUGACCAAUGUUAUACGACAAGGAUGUAAAUGGCAAAGCACACAUGAAUAAUGAAUGAAUCUGAUCAUUUGUAUUUGAGCUGGAGGUGAAUGGUCUAGAUGAUGGAUAGAACGCACCAGAUGAAAAAGGUGUCAGAAUCAAAGAUGAUACAUAUACUGUUCUUGGUCAGUGGGAAAUACAACAAGGUCAUCAAUGGUAAUGGAGAGUUUUGUUAAUGGGGAAAAAGCGGUGGGAGGCAAAAUGAUUAGUUCACUUUUAGAAAGAUUAGGUUUCAGGUAGCGAUGGGACCUCCAAGAGGAAAUGGCCAUAAGGCAGUUUUGUAAUGUGAGAUGGAAGAGGACAAAAGGCCAUGAAGGGGAGGUAAUUUUAGUUACAGUCAAAAGAUGAAUGUUAUUAGAGACCAAAUAAUGUCAUAAGGCUGCCGAGGAAAGAGAUGCAGAGAUAUGAGGGUAGAAGAACUUUCCUGGAUGCCGACAGAUAAUUGAAGGUGAUACAUUGUUGGGGGAGAAUUUUAGCAAAUUUAAGAUACUAUACAGCUAUGGGUGCAUUCAGCAUUGAGCAAUAAGGGUUUUUACAGGGAGAGUUUACUAGAAGCACGAACUUACAUUGAGGCAGAGGUACCCAAGGUGACUGUCUGCCAGGGGUUAGGGGUCAUGCAGGGAAAACAGACCAUGUGUCCGCCAGGUACCUCCAG